rnacentral:rRNA from 1 species
UAAUACGAAGGUGGCAAGCGUUACUCGGAAUUACUAGGCGUAAAGGGCAGGUAGGUGGUUCAGUAAGUCUGUUGUGGAAGCUCCCGGCUUAACCGGGAGAGGCCAACGGAAACUACUGGACUUGAGUGUAGGAGAGGGUACUGGAAUUCCCGGUGUAGCGGUGAAAUGCGCAGAGAUCGGGAGGAACACCAAUGGCGAAAGCAGGUACCUGGACUAUUACUGACACUAAGCUGCGAAAGCUAGGGGAGCAAACAGGAUUAGAUACCCUGGUAGUCCUAGCUGUAAACGAUGCACAUUAGACGUGAGGGGUAUCGACCCCCUUCGUGUCGACGCAAACGCAUUAAAUGUGCCGCCUGGGGAGUACGGCCGCAAGGUUG